UCUACAAGCUCAGCUAGGAGAAAAGAACAAAUUGGAAUGGAACAGUUUCCAAACAGUGAAGGAGGUUUUUCCAAACUCAUCCCUAACUGAACAUGAGGAUGAAUUGGCAUUAGGCGAACACAGUCAGUUAUUCAGUCUACCACCUGACAGUGUGUUAAAGUUAAAUUCUGUUAGUGCUGCACUAAAAGAAUUGUUAGUAAUAAGUCAAUGCAGCGAAGGAAUUGAACAAUUGUGGGAUCGUAUUUGGGCUGAAAAUAGGUGUGGUACGGAAACCCAGAAAUAGCAUGAGUUCAACAUAAAACAUGAAUUAGAAUUCUAGUGGGGAAUCAAGUCAAGUCUAGAAGUGUUACAGGAUGGAAGAGUGAGCCUACAGUUGAAAAACACUGAAAGUGCAUUACCAUUAAGGUAUGAGGUAAAGUAAUAGAGUAUGCAAAUUGUCUAAUGAGAAGUACCAUCUUGUGUGAAUGAAUCCUGUGUAACAGCAAUCCUUUAUAGUUCUGUUAUAGCUAGAAGCCUCAAAUAAUUCUGCUUCUCUUGCUAAAGAACAACUUGUCCUUUACACUCAGAGUGUUGGUGAAGCUGGGUACUUAAAUGGCCCUAAAGAUGUUUCACUUCACUGGCAUUGCAGCGAUGAACAUCAUACAUGGACUCUUUAGGAAAGGAUUUUCAGCAUACUGGGAACACAACUAUCAACAAUGCAACAUUCUAGGGGUGUUAUUUUAUCCUUCAAGAGCCUUAUACAAUGAUUUUUAUCUACAAUUUGUAUGGCCUUUCCCGAGCUUCUGCCAGAAGUUGAAUCUAUGAGUCAUGUAAGUCACAUGAGCAACAAUUGAGAUGCUUAAUGGUGUUGUUUUUCUUUUCUCAGUGUAGGUUAAUAGUAACAUUGGAUCUGAAAAAAUUCUUGGUUGGGGCAUGACACUGAAUAAAUUGUAAUGAUUGGA